GGGUUGUGAGGUUAAGCGACUAAGCGUACACGGUGGAUGCCCUGGCAGUCAGAGGCGAUGAAGGACGUGCUAAUCUGCGAUAAGCGUCGGUAAGGUGAUAUGAACCGUUAUAACCGGCGAUUUCCGAAUGGGGAAACCCAGUGUGUUUCGACACACUAUCAUUAACUGAAUCCAUAGGUUAAUGAGGCGAACCGGGGGAACUGAAACAUCUAAGUACCCCGAGGAAAAGAAAUCAACCGAGAUUCCCCCAGUAGCGGCGAGCGAACGGGGAGGAGCCCAGAGCCUGAAUCAGUGUGUGUGUUAGUGGAAGCGUCUGGAAAGGCGCGCGAUACAGGGUGACAGCCC
rnacentral:rRNA from 1 species